rnacentral:rRNA from 1 species
AGAGUUUGAUCCUGGCUCAGGAUGAACGCUGGCGGCGUGCUUAACACAUGCAAGUCGAACGAACCUUCGGGUUAGUGGCGGACGGGUGAGUAACGCGUGAGAAUCUGCCCUCAGGAGGGGGAUAACAGCUGGAAACGGCUGCUAAUACCCCAUAUGCCGCGAGGUGAAAUGAAUUUCGCCUGAGGAUGAGCUCGCGUCUGAUUAGCUAGUUGGUGUAGGUAAAGGCUCACCAAGGCAUCGAUCAGUAGCUGGUCUGAGAGGAUGAUCAGCCACACUGGGACUGAGACACGGCCCAGACUCCUACGGGAGGCAGCAGUGGGGAAUUUUCCGCAAUGGGCGAAAGCCUGACGGAGCAACGCCGCGUGAGGGAUGAAGGCCUCUGGGCUGUAAACCUCUUUUAUCAAGGAAGAAGAUCUGACGGUACUUGAUGAAUAAGCCACGGCUAAUUCCGUGCCAGCAGCCGCGGUAAUACGGGAGUGGCAAGCGUUAUCCGGAAUUAUUGGGCGUAAAGCGUCCGCAGGCGGCCCUUCAAGUCUGCUGUUAAAAAGUGGAGCUUAACUCCAUCAUGGCAGUGGAAACUGUCGGGCUUGAGUGUGGUAGGGGCAGAGGGAAUUCCCGGUGUAGCGGUGAAAUGCGUAGAUAUCGGGAAGAACACCAGUGGCGAAGGCGCUCUGCUGGGCCAUCACUGACGCUCAUGGACGAAAGCCAGGGGAGCGAAAGGGAUUAGAUACCCCUGUAGUCCUGGCCGUAAACGAUGAACACUAGGUGUCGGGGGAAUCGACCCCCUCGGUGUCGUAGCCAACGCGUUAAGUGUUCCGCCUGGGGAGUACGCACGCAAGUGUGAAACUCAAAGGAAUUGACGGGGGCCCGCACAAGCGGUGGAGUAUGUGGUUUAAUUCGAUGCAACGCGAAGAACCUUACCAGGGUUUGACAUCCUGCGAAUCUCUUGGAAACGAGAGAGUGCCUUCGGGAGCGCAGUGACAGGUGGUGCAUGGCUGUCGUCAGCUCGUGUCGUGAGAUGUUGGGUUAAGUCCCGCAACGAGCGCAACCCACGUCUUUAGUUGCCAGCAUUUAGUUGGGCACUCUAGAGAGACCGCCGGUGAUAAACCGGAGGAAGGUGUGGAUGACGUCAAGUCAUCAUGCCCCUUACAUCCUGGGCUACACACGUACUACAAUGCUACGGACAAAGGGCAGCAAGUUCGCGAGGACAAGCAAAUCCCAUAAACCGUGGCUCAGUUCAGAUCGUAGGCUGCAACUCGCCUACGUGAAGGAGGAAUCGCUAGUAAUCGCAGGUCAGCAUACUGCGGUGAAUACGUUCCCGGGCCUUGUACACACCGCCCGUCACACCAUGGAAGUUGGCCACGCCCGAAGCCGUUACUCCAACCCUUGUGGAGGAGGACGUCGAAGGUGGGGCUGAUGACUGGGGUGAAGUCGUAACAAGGUAACC